CUCUGGUACCACCCCGCCCUCCAACCGGGGAAAGCACGCUGGGAAACCGACACUGGCUUUACAUCUGACUUGCUGUUGACCUUGGACCCUCUCGGAUCUGUUUCCUCGUUAGUAAAGUACGGAGAUCAUAACAGUACUAACCUCCAGAAUGAAUGCGUGCUGGCCAAAACCGCUACGCCUGGUGAUGAGAAGGCUGAUCAGAUCUUUAAUGCUGCGGUGGAUCUAAACUUCUGUGAUACUUACGGAGAUGGAAGAUGCUGCCCACGUCUGCUUGGCACUUGCCGGAUCUGUUCACACCUAAGGCUUCCUAACUCAUGCACCUGGAACUCUGCCUGAGAGCUUGCUCUGGCUGCAGGAGCAAACUUGGCCUGCACAUGGGGAUGACCAGCAAAGUCAGGGAGUUAAUGCCGCAGGAGCGGAAGUCAAGCACUGAUGGAUGAGAGCUGCUGAAUGUAUAUCCUGACUUCCUCACUUCCCAAUGGGCAGCUUUGAGACCUUUCAGUCAUAUGCCUCCUGUUGUUGCCCAGCUGGAGGGAGCCCCAGUUGCCCACAGGAGUGGCCUGCUCCUCAUACCCCCCCGAUGUGGCUUCCUUCCCUCCUGAGCCAUGUCCCUGCCCCUUGGUGGUGCUUCGUGGAUCAGCUGCCAUAGAAACUGCGUGCUCGGCGCUGGAGCUUAGUGUCUCCCUGAGUGGUCCUGGCAUAGUGGUCAUCAUCAGCCCCGGAGGCUUUGAGGGGCUCAAGCCUGGGUGGCAAAUCUGGAAAACAAAUCUCCCUCCCCCGAAGAUCAAGUCCAAAGGAUAACUAUUCCAGGAGCCAGCGAUAGACGUCUGUCUGUCUUGUACCACCUUGGUGCUGGUACCUGGAUCUUAAAAGACUGUUUGAAAUGUAUCCUGAGUGAAACAACCAGGGCUGGGAAUGCUGAGUGCAGGAAUGAAUGAAUGAGCAUUGACCCACGGAUCUCCGUCCACAUCGCUGCUGCCUCCGGGCUUAUGACAAGGAAGGCCUGGCAACACUUAGGGCUGUGGGGAAGGAGUAAGUUGUUUGAACAAGGGAGCCAUGAUUCACAAUCAAAGCAGUAAUAAGAGCCCAGACAUCAUGAGUUCACCUGUCUAGGUCACAAAUUACCUUCACAGCCAAGAUCUCACUUACUAUCCCCAACGACCUGACCAGGAAGGUUUUCUUUUAAUUACUAUGAUUAUUAGUUGUAUCAUCAUUACCCGCAUUUCAUCUUACUGUAGGAUGUAGCCAGUGCCUCCUGAGUCCUGACAGACAUGAAUAAUCAGUCAAGGUGUCCUCACCCACUGAGCCUCAGUUCCUUCUCCAUCUAGCACUGUAGGCAGGGCUACCAAUCAACUGACGUUGGCAUGAAAGCCGAAACCCAUCUUGCUUCUCUGGCUAGCAGCUUUCCUGACAACAAUAAAUUCUUAUUAAAUUAAAUUGAAAGGCUCAAGGAAGAAGAAGCAAGCUAGGCUUAGGGCCUGUGUCUCCUGAUGUCUCAGCCAGUGCAGCACUCUUGAGUGCAGACAUCAGUUAGAAGGCUGCUUCGUUAAGAAAGUUUCCCUCAUUUCUCUAACUUAAUGAGACAGCCCCAGAUACUGGGAUGACAGGUAUACACAAACAGAUACACACACCCUUUCUCCAAGGCAGACUUCCCUUAAAACUUAAAAAAGGAGAAAAAGAAAAAAAAUCAGGGCUUUCCUGGUGGUCCAGCAGUUAAGACUCCUUCCUUCCAAUGCAGGCGGUAUGGGCUUGAUCUCUGGUUGGAGAAAUAAAAUUCCAUACGUCUUGUAGCAAAAAAA